rnacentral:tRNA from 1 species
AAGAGUUUAGCUUAAUUAAAGUAUUCGAUUUGCGUUCGAAUGAUGCAAGAUAGAGGCUUGUAAUUCUUA